UCCAAGGGUUCCUGCUUAAAGCUAAUCUGAGCAGGGUAAGCCGACCCCUAAGGCGAGGCCGAAAGGCGUAGUCGAUGGGAACCAGGUUAAUAUUCCUGGGCCAGAUGGAAGUGACGGAUCUCGAGGGUAGUUCAUCCUUAUCGGAUUGAAUGGGCUGCUUAGAGGUCCCUGGAAAUAGCUCCAUCGCUAGAUCGUACCCUAAACCGACACAGGUGGAUAGGUAGAGAAUACCAAGGCGCUUGAGAGAACUAUGUUGAAGGAACUCGGCAAAAUACCUCCGUAAGUUCGCGAGAAGGAGGCCCGGUUCCUAGGCAACUAGGGGCUGGGGGCACAAACCAGGGGGUGGCGACUGUUUAUUAAAAACACAGGGCUCUGCGAAGUCGUAAGACGACGUAUAGGGUCUGACGCCUGCCCGGUGCCUGAAGGUUAAAAGGAGGAGUGAGAGCUCUGAAUUGAAGCCCAGGUAAACGGCGGCCGUAACUAUAACGGUCCUAAGGUAGCGAAAUUCCUUGUCGGGUAAGUUCCGACCUGCACGAAUGGCGUAACGACUUCCCCGCUGUCUCCAACAUAGACUCAGCGAAAUUGAAUUACCGGUCAAGAUGCCGGUUACCCGCGGUUAGACGGAAAGACCCCGUGCACCUUUACUACAACUUCACACUGGCAUUAGGCCGAACAUGUGCAGGAUAGGUGGUGGGCUUUGAAGCGUGGACGCCAGUCUGCGUGGAGCCUCCCUUGAGAUACCACCCUUGUUCUGCUUGAUGUCUAACCGCGGUCCGUUAUCCGGAUCCGGGACCCUGUGUGGUGGGUAGUUUGACUGGGGCGGUCGCCUCCUAAAUCGUAACGGAGGCGCGCGAAGGUUGGCUCAGAGCGGUCGGAAAUCGCUCGUUGAGUGCAAUGGCAGAAGCCAGCCUGACUGCGAGACUGACAAGUCGAGCAGAGUCGAAAGACGGCCAUAGUGAUCCGGUGGUCCCAAGUGGGAGGGCCAUCGCUCAACGGAUAAAAGGUACGCCGGGGAUAACAGGCUGAUACUGCCCAAGAGUCCAUAUCGACGGCAG
rnacentral:rRNA from 1 species